rnacentral:tRNA from 1 species
AUUUAAAUAGCUUAAGAUAGAGCAAAAUAUUGAAGAUAUUUAGGUAACAGUUGUUUUUAAAUA